AUGAAGUCGACAGGCUUUACUCAUCAGGUCAACUGGGAUCACACACACCGGAGGCGCUCCUGCACACUGUAUGGUUUAACAAUACCAUAUACUUUGUAUGAGAGGAGUGCAAGAGCACCAUGAUAUGAAGUGGGGCGAUUUGAAACUGAAGCAGGACGGUAAUGGCGACGAUUAUGUCGCCUUCUGUGAGCGAUCUACAAAAACAAGAGGUGGAGCAGAUCCAAAUAAUAUCAGACAAGUUGAGCCAAAGAUGUGGGCUACCAAGGAGAACCAAGAACGUUGUCCUGUAAGGA